GGAGGAAAGUAGGGGAUCGCAAGACCUUGCGCUCAUUGAGCGGCCGAUGCCUGAUUAGCUAGUUGGUGAGGUAAAGGCUUACCAAGGCGACGAUCAGUAGCUGGUCUGAGAGGACGACCAGCCACACUGGGACUGAGACACGGCCCAGACUCCUACGGGAGGCAGCAGUGGGGAAUUUUGGACAAUGGGGGAAACCCUGAUCCAGCCAUGCCGCGUGAGUGAAGAAGGCCUUCGGGUUGUAAAGCUCUUUCAGCCGGAACGAAACGGUCACGGCUAAUACCUGUGACUACUGACGGUACCGGAAGAAGAAGCACCGGCUAACUACGUGCCAGCAGCCGCGGUAAUACGUAGGGUGCGAGCGUUAAUCGGAAUUACUGGGCGUAAAGCGUGCGCAGGCGGUUUUGUAAGUCAGAUGUGAAAUCCCCGGGCUUAACCUGGGAACUGCGUUUGAAACUACAAGGCUAG
rnacentral:rRNA from 1 species